UUAUAACUGCUUAAGAAAUUACAGCCAUCCUGAAAUAGAAUAUUUGCUGUUUUUCUUAUUUUACCUACAAGAAAAUUAAGGCUUAUAGAUGUUGACGAAAAGCUCAAGAUCAAGAUACUAUCCAUGCAGGGGACUCAUUCCCUGUGGGGCUGAGAGUUGGAUCUGAGAGCAGCCGACGGAAGCUCAGAAAGACAUCUGGAGAGAGCUGCGCACUGUCAGUCUCCCCGCGGGGGCCUCCGGAGCAUCCCGACGGACGCAGCUUGUCAAAACCUUCCUCACCACAGAUGUUUCCAUAGCACACUUGUCAGAAAGGAUGGUGGAACGUACUUCAUGAAACUCCUUUCCAGUUGAUCUGUACCUGUAAGGUGUUUGUCCCCACUGGGUGUGGUCUCCACGCGCACUUGCGAGAGUCUGCUCAGUGGGAGCAGCUGAGCUGAACAUGCAGCCCGGCAGCUCCACAGCCGCAGGCAAGGUGACUUCACACAAGGGACACAGGAGCACAGGUGCCACGGGGCAAAGUGACUCCAUGCGAGAGACACAGGAGUGCAGGUGCCACGGGGCAGACGCCUGAAGGAUGAGAAGGAACAGGCAAAGUGGAGACCUGGCUGAGGGCGCUGAGCAGGACGGUCUGAUAGUGAGGCAUGCAGGUGGGAUCUUCCUCUGUGGUCCAGAGAACAAGGGGGAGGGGUGGGAUUUCAGGGAGCACUUUGCCUUCGAUCUGUUUCAUCAUUUGGGGUUACAUGAAAUAAAUCACAGUAUUUGCUUCCAAAAAUGCUUUUAAAAUCAGCAAAUGAGUAAAGCAUCACAAGAAUGGAGAGGCAUGAAUCCUAUGUACUCAAUUUUGAUAUGAGGACAAUUAAUGACAAUUAAGG